rnacentral:rRNA from 1 species
CCCGUAGGGGGCGAGCGUUGUCCGGAUUUAUUGGGCGUAAAGAGCUCGUAGGUGGCUUAGUAAGCCGGGUGUGAAACCUCCAGGCUCAACCUGGAGACGCCACCCGAUACUGCUAUAGCUUGAGUCCGGUAGGGGAGCGUGGAAUUCCUGGUGUAGCGGUGAAAUGCGCAGAUAUCAGGAGGAACACCAGCGGCGAAGGCGGCGCGCUGGGCCGGUACUGACACUGAGGAGCGAAAGCGUGGGGAGCAAACAGG